AUGCUCAUGCAACCAUGCAUGUCAGCCACAUCUCUCUUUUACCAAACCGACCUAGCACCCUACACUACUAUAAAUAGCAGCCUCCUCCUUUCACCUUUGACUUCCUCUACUGCACACAACACGCACAAGAGAGAACCAAGCUCUCCCCACCAUCCCCAUCCACUCUUUUGGUCGGAUGCUGAGUUGCCAUCAGAACAAGGGAGUUAUGAGAACUCUGAGGCACUAGAGAAUGGUACUUAUGAUGAGUCUGGUGAUCUUGACGACUCUGGUUAUUCUGAAGUGGAGUAUGAUUAUGAGGAUGUUGGCAAUCAAGUCUAUGAAGAGUAG
rnacentral:rRNA from 1 species